rnacentral:rRNA from 1 species
UUUCUGCAGGGGACGACCGGUCCGCCCUCUGGGUGAGUAUCUGGCUUGGCCUUUGCAUCUUCUUGGAGAACGUAGCUGCACUUGACUGUGUGGUGCGGUAUCCUUGACUUUUACUUUGAGGAAAUUAGAGUGUUUCAAGCAGGCAUACGCCUUGAAUACAUUAGCAUGGAAUAAUAAGAUAGGACCUCGGUUCUAUUUUGUUGGUUUCUAGAGCUGAGGUAAUGAUUAAUAGGGAUAGUUGGGGGCAUUCGUAUUUAACU